CAAGAGCUGAAGGGGCUUUAACACCAUAAGAACGACAAUGCUAAUGAACCAGAGCUUUCUGAUACUAGACCUAUGUUCAAGAAUGUACAUGGACAGAGUUAUGGCUCCAACUGCAUAUGUGGAAGAGGAUGGACUUGGAACCACUUGAAGCAGGGAAGUCCAGAUGCUUCUGACACGCUCCGAGCUCCGAGCUCCUGAUCCCAUGUGUGGAAGGCUCAGAUCAAUUCUAUCUCUUCAAGACAGGAGGGUAGCAUUAUUGUCCUCUGCAAGACUCAACAGAGCAGCCGACUGACACACGUGCACAGACAUACGGCCAAAUAUUGAAUGGAGCUCAGUGAGUCUCACUGAAGGGCUGA